rnacentral:lncRNA from 1 species
CGAAAGCACAGCAUCUGCCAAAUAUCAACAAACAGUCUCAAAGUAUAAAAGAUCUGGAGAUCCAACUGCUGCAAGUGGAGUGUGAAGAACUCAAAAAUCGGCUAGGAUGCUUAAGGGAAGGGCUGAUGGGGCAGAAGCCAAGUGAUAUGGAGGAGUUACUGAAACAAUCUCAAAGAGAGCUGUUGUGGCUUCAGAGACAGCUGUCCUUUAUUUCAUCAGGAGGCCCUAUGUGUGUUUUGGCAGCUAGCAAGUUUGGAAAUGAUCCAUCACAUUUGCAGCCUGCAGCAUCGCAAAAAACAUCUGAUCGGAUCCAGGUUUUAG